rnacentral:rRNA from 1 species
CCUACGGGAGGCAGCAGUGGGGAAUAUUGGGCAAUGGGCGCAAGCCUGACGCAGCAACGCCGCGUGAACGAUGAAGGCUUUCGGGUUGUAAACUUCUUUUGUCAGGGACGAAGCGAGUGACGGUACCUGACGAAUCAGCCACGGCUAACUAGGUGCCAGCCGCCGCGGUAAUAAGUAGGUGUCAAGCGUUAUCCGGAUUUACUGGGGGUAAAGGCCGUGUAGGCGGGGCUGCAAGUCAGAUGUGAAAACCACGGGCUCAACCUGUGGACUGCAUUUGAAACUGUAGGUCGUGAGUACUGGAGAGGCAGACGGAAUUCCUAGUGUAGCGGUGAAAUGCGUAGAUAUUAGGAGGAACACCAGUGGCGAAGGCGGUCUGCUGGACAGCAACUGACGUUGAGGCGCGAAAGCGUGGGGAGCAAACAGGAUUAGAUACCCUGGUAGUC